rnacentral:rRNA from 1 species
UGGGGAAUUUUGGACAAUGGGGGAAACCCUGAUCCAGCCAUCCCGCGUGUGCGAUGAAGGCCUUCGGGUUGUAAAGCACUUUUGGCAGGAAAGAAACGUCGCGGGUUAAUACCCCGCGAAACUGACGGUACCUGCAGAAUAAGCACCGGCUAACUACGUGCCAGCAGCCGCGGUAAUACGUAGGGUGCAAGCGUUAAUCGGAAUUACUGGGCGUAAAGCGUGCGCAGGCGGUUCGGAAAGAAAGAUGUGAAAUCCCAGAACUUAACUUUGGAACUGCAUUUUUAACUACCGGGCUAGAGUGUGUCAGAGGGAGGUGGAAUUCCGCGUGUAGCAGUGAAAUGCGUAGAUAUGCGGAGGAACACCGAUGGCGAAGGCAGCCUCCUGGGAUAACACUGACGCUCAUGCACGAAAGCGUGGGGAGCAAACAGGAUUAGAUACCCUGGUAGUCCACGCCCUAAACGAUGUCAACUAGCUGUUGGGGCCUUCGGGCCUUGGUAGCGCAGCUAACGCGUGAAGUUGACCGCCUGGGGAGUACGGUC